rnacentral:lncRNA from 1 species
GACUACAUAUUCAAAAUAUAUUUAAUUAACUAAUUUAAAUUGUAGAAAAUAUUGAAAUAUUAAUUUAUGUUUAAAAAAAACUCUUUCACUUCACCGGCUCCUCCUUUCCUCCCCCUAAAUCCAUCAACCCCAAAGCCUCAAUACCCUUCAGCCAAUCCCUAGCUGUGAAGUAGUGGUGUGAAGUAGAGGAAGAUGAAAAGGGUGUGAAAGAAGCACCUUCACUAGUGGCUAUGGGCUCCAUUGAAAUAACUAAUCGCAUCAAAGGCUAAAGAUUGAACGACCAAACCA